GACGAACGCUGGCGGCGUGCCUAAUACAUGCAAGUAGAACGCUGAAGGAGGAGCUUGCUUCUCUGGAUGAGUUGCGAACGGGUGAGUAACGCGUAGGUAACCUGCCUGGUAGCGGGGGAUAACUAUUGGAAACGAUAGCUAAUACCGCAUAAGAGUAGAUGUUGCAUGACAUUUGCUUAAAAGGUGCAAUUGCAUCACUACCAGAUGGACCUGCGUUGUAUUAGCUAGUUGGUGGGGUAACGGCUUACCAAGGCGACGAUACAUAGCCGACCUGAGGGGGUGAUCGGCCACACUGGGACUGAGACACGGCCCAGACUCCUACGGGAGGCAGCAGUAGGGAAUCUUCGGCAAUGGACGGAAGUCUGACCGAGCAACGCCGCGUGAGUGAAGAAGGUUUUCGGAUCGUAAAGCUCUGUUGUAAGAGAAGAACGAGUGUGAGAGUGGAAAGUUCACACUGUGACGGUAUCUUACCAGAAAGGGACGGCUAACUACGUG
rnacentral:rRNA from 1 species